rnacentral:rRNA from 1 species
AUGGCGGAAGCUCUGCUUCUGCCGGCGGUACGCAUCACGGCCGGCAAGGCGGCCGACGCGCUCGUCCAGGGCGUGGCCGGCAUGUGGGGCGUCGACGCCGACCGCCGCAAGCUGGAGCGCCAGCUGCUGGCCGUCCAGUGCAAGCUGGCCGACGCGGAGCUCAAGAGCGGGGUCAACCCGGCCGUCCGGCGGUGGAUCAAGGACCUGCGGACCGCCGCCUACCAGGCCGACGACGUCCUCGACGACUUCCACCACGAGGCGCUGCGCCGCGAAGCCCGGAUCGGCGAGUCGGCCGCCCGCAAGGUGCUCGGCUAUUUCACGCUGCCGCACAACCCGCUUCUGUUCCGUCUCGCAAUGAGCUGGAGGCUGAACAGUGUCCUCAAAAAGAUCGAUCUGCUUGUCGCGGAGAUGAACAGUUUCGGCCUGGAGAACCAUGCCGAGGCGCCGCAUGCUGUUCUUUGCCGGCAGACGCACUCGGCGAUCGACGACCCUGCGCAGAUCUUCGGCAGAGAUCUCGACAAGGAGGCGGUGGUGAACCUGUUGCUCGGCCAGCAAGAUCAUCAGAAAGUGCAGGUCCUGCCCGUCUUUGGGAUGGGUGGUCUGGGCAAGACCACGCUUGCCAAGAUGGUGUACAACGACCCCAAGGUCCAGCAACAUUUUCAGUUACUCAUGUGGCACUGUGCGUCGGACAGCUUCGAGACCGCCGCCCUUGUGAAGUCCAUCAUCGAGUUGGCUACGAGAGGGAGAUGCGACAUUCCAGACACAGUCGAGCUGCUGCGAGGGAGGCUUCAGGAGGUCAUUGGCUGGAAAAGGUUUCUGCUUGUUCUUGACGAUGUCUGGAAUGAAGAACAGCGAAAGUGGGAGGAUAGCCUGAAAUCAGCGUUGUGUUCCGUCGGCGGUUCCGGAAGCGUUAUAAUCGUCACGACUCGGAGCCCACGAGCAGCGUCUAUAAUGGGCACGCUUCAAACCCAUGAGCUGGCACAUCUGAGUGAACAACACUCAUGGGAAUUGUUCUCAAAGAAAGCAUUUAAGGGAAAUGUGCGAGAGCAGGCAGAGUUGAUGUCGAUCGGCAAGCGUAUCGUCAGCAAAUGCAAGGGGCACCCUCUUGCUCUGAGUGCAAUGGGGGGUUUGAUGUGUUCAAAAGGACGGGCCUGGGAAUGGGAGGCCAUUGCAGAAAGCAAUAUUGGGGAUAGUGUUGCAGGCAAACAAGAAAUCAUAUCCAUACUCAAAUUGAGCUACCAACACUUAUCCUCUGAAAUGAAGCAAUGCUUUGCCUUCUGCGCCGUCUUCUCCAAGAACAGUGAGAUGGAAAAAAGCAUGUUGAUCCAACUAUGGAUGGCCAAUGGGUUUAUUCAAGAAGAGGGAAUGAUGGAUUUGGAGCAGAAAGGCGAAUUUGUUUUCAACGAGUUGGUUUGGAGAUCCUUCCUUCAGGAUGUGGAAGUGAAACCAUUUGAUGGCCCAGCUUCAAGGCAUGGUUUGGUUGGAUGUGGGAUGCAUGAUUUAAUGCAUGACCUAGCAAAACAUGUUACGGGUGAAUGCGCAACUAUGCAAGAGUUGAUUCAGAAGAAAGCAUAUGUAGAAGAUGUCUUUCACAUGAAAAUAUCAUCGGAUGAAUUGGAACAAAGCAACGGAUUACUGAAAAAUAAGGAAUCUCUCCGAACUCUGUUAGCACCGUCAUCAUCACAUAAGGAUCUCAGCAAGUUAAGGCUGACGUCGUUAAGAGCAUUAUGUUGUCGUGGCCUUCAUAUCCGUCAACCCAUAAAGACAAAGCAUUUGCGAUAUCUUGACCUGUCUCACUCUGAAAUUGUUACAUUGCCAGAUUCGGUAUGCAUGUUGUACAACUUACAGUCGCUGAGGCUCAAUCAUUGCCACAAGCUCCGAUAUUUACCUGAAGGCAUCAGAAGCAUGAAAAAACUUCACCAUCUCUAUCUUUUUGAGUGUGAUAAACUGGAGCGGAUGCCCCCAAAGAUUAGUCAACUAAGCAACCUGCACACCCUAACAUCGUUUGUUGUGGGCACUGGAGAUGGUUGUGGAAUUGAUCAACUCAAAGAUCUAAAAUACCUUAGCCACCGGUUGGAACUAUACAAUUUGAUAAAAAUAGAGAGUGUGGUGGAUGCAAAAGAAGCCAAACUCUAUCAGAAAAAAAAUCUAACUGAACUGUCGCUAUGCUGGGGUCGUCGAAAAUAUCACGGGCCUCAAGAUGAUGUUGGUAACAUGGAACAAGUAUUGGAGGCUCUUGCACCUCAUAGUGAGAUCAAAGUAUUGGAGAUACAUGGUUAUGGUGGCACUAAAUUCUCAUCAUGGAUGAUGCACUCUCAGAUGUGCCAGUGCCUAAGAAAACUCAUAAUCUUCAACUGCCCAAAAUGCAAACAUCUCCCAUCCGCACCGCUGUUGGUCUCCCUCGAGUAUUUGUCCUUAGGUUACAUGGAUAGCCUGACCAUGAUAUGCAAGGAGACUGAUGUGGAGGUUGAAGGAUGCAAUGCAUCUCGUCAGAUCUUCCCAAAGCUAAAAAGAAUGUUCUUAGAAAACUUACCAGAGUUGGAGAGAUGGACAGAAAACAGUACUGCAGGGGAACCUCCUCAUAGCUUGGUGAUGUUUCCUCUGCUUGAAGAGCUAAGUAUGUAUGCCUGUCCGAAGGUUGCAAGUGUUCCGAGCAGCCCAGUUAUAGAGAAGCUGCGGAUAAUGGAAUGUUACAGCCUUCCAAUCAGCUCAAUCGCUCAUCUGACAACGCUCUCUGAGCUUGAGUUUGGUGGAGAAUUAAUUCGUUCUGCAAGCAUGCCUUUGGGCUCUUGGCUAUCCCUCGUGAAAUUAAGUGUUAGCUCACUGGGUGAUAUGAUGCUGCCUCCAGGGGACCAGCAAAGCCAUAGGCCCUUGGAAACCCUUCGGAGUAUGUGGCUAUCCGGUCCCAAUUGCUUUGAAACGACAUCCACUUUGUCAAAAUCGCACCUGCUGAGGCUCUGGGAGUGCUUUGCCUUUGUUGAAGAAUUGUGCAUUUCUGGGUGCGACGAACUUGUCCACUGGCCGACGGAGGAGCUCCGGAACCUGGCUCGUCUCCGUUUUCUGCGCAUUAGCUUCUGUGUUAAGCUCAAGGGGAAGGGCUCGCCGUCUGAUGAAAUCCUUCCGCCGCCCCAGCUGGAGAUGUUAAGCAUUCACAACUGUAGCAGCUUACGGUAUAUUCCCGAGGUGGCUGCAUCCCUUGAUGAAUUAGUGAUAGGAGAAUGCACGUGUUUGAUCGCGCUGCCUUCAAAUCUAUCCAAGCUGAGGGUGCUCCGGAUUCAGGGCUGCAGUGGCUUGAAAACUUUGCCAGAUGGCCUCACCUCUCUUGAGCAGCUGACAAUCGAGAGGUGUACAGGGAUAGAAAAAUUCCCGCAGGACCUCCUCCAACGGCUCCCAGCACUCAAGUCCUUGAAGAUAGUUGGUUGCCCCAACUUGCAAAGACAUUGCAGACAAGGUGGGGAGUAUUUCCACUUGAUUUCCUCUAUUCCACAUAAGGACAUUCCAGCAGCAGAAACUGAGUCUGGCAGGAUGAACCAGACGUUUUUAAAGAGGUUAAUGCCCUCCUGCUGA